CAACGCGGGAUCCGAGCCGCGUCUGCAACCUACACCACAGCUCAGGGCAACGCCAGAUCGUUAACCCACUGAGCAAGGGCAGGGACGGAACCCGCAACCUCAUGAUUCCUAGUCGGAUUCGUUAACCACUGCGCCACGACGGGAACUCCUGGGUUCCGUAUUUUCUAUGUCUGUUUUUCUAUCCCAUGUUUUGGUUUCAAAUCACAGGGUAAUAUGUCUUAUUCCUCCAUAUUUCUCCAAUUCUAGAAAGGUGCUUUGGAUACAAUUAUGCAACUAUUAAUUAUUUGGAAAUCUUGUUAGGUGAACCAGCAUCUAAUCUUCAAAAUAUAUGACUAGCGAAGCUGACUUUCCCUACAUAUUAAAGAUGUAGUAAAGAAAUCUCAAUUUUAGGUUGGCUGAUACCCAGGCACUAUCUCCCCUUAGAAAAAGUAAAGACAGAAGUAUCAACCAUUCUCUAAUUUACUGCAAUGCCGAGGAUAAAGCUCCAUUGUGAGAAGAGGAUGCCUAAGCAUCUAAUUCCCAUUUUUUUUACAUAACUGGAAAGACUCUUGCUAUUUCCUCUUCCUUUACAAUAUACUAAUAAGUACCACUCUGGAAGAACUAUAUACAAUUUAUUUUAGACUUUGCAGUGAAUUGAAAUUGAGAGAUCAUGGAGUCCCUGCAAGGAUUUCUCAUUUUUGAAUUUGAUGUUCUCAGUGUUUAAAUGGCACUCCUUGAAAAGAUUCAUACUUUAAAAAAAAAAAUCAAUUUCAGCUCUGUGAAGAGAAUAUGGGGAAAUUAAUACCUCAAAAAAAGUCCUGAAAUGCAAGAUUGGUUUAUAGAAACAUCAUGUAGUAUGAUCUUAUUUCUAUUCUACUAACCUUUUUUUUUUCAAUAUCAUGGAAUUUUUUUUUGAUGGAAUACUUUAUUGAUGGAAAUGCAAAUAUUGAAAAAAAAUUGUAGUGGUUAAAAUGAACAACUUUUCCAUAAAAGGUGGGGUUCACUAAAUUUCUAGGCAUACAGAAUUUUUACUAUAUGUGAAUUUUUUAUGAACUAACAUUCAGAAAAGAGGUUUCAUGAGCCUAAAGGGAAUAUAUGUCAGAUUAUAUUGAUUGAGUGAGAGAUAAUGGUGAUAAUAAUAAUAGCUAAAAUUUAUCCUGGGUUUUUCUUCUAACAGACUCAAAGUACUUUAUAUAUGGAGCUUUAUUUUUUACCCUGUAGGAACAGUAUUUUUAGGAGGCUGCUGACCCAACAGGAGGCCAUAGGAAAUAGUUUCAUUAUCCCUUAGUGCCAGGCUGGGUAAGAAGAAUAUUUAUCUUUCCAACCCUGAGAUGAAGUGAAACAUACAUAGUCAUUCUGGUCAUAAAGGCUCAAAGUCCCUGGGGUCCCAUUUCAUGAUCUGCAAGUGAUUCAAGUGAAAACACUGAGAGUAUAUAAAUAUGGAAAGUCUUCUAAGACAUUUUCUCCUUUUGUAGAAUUCUAAAGGUUCUCUUUUCUUAGUCCUGUCUUCAUAGUGAGUUUUUUGGGGUGAUACUGAAUUAGAGACAUUUGUGCCAGCCACUUUCCAAGGUUGGCCUCAAUCUGGGAGAUAGAAAGAAAGUCGAUUUAGAGCCAAAUAAUUAUAAUGUUUAAAUGGACAGUGUCCUAUUUUUGAAAUAAUCAACUAUUGUAAUGAGAAAGCAGACUAAACAAAGGGAGGUGACUUGCUUAGGAUCACUUAAAUUUCUAGCCUCUGAAUGAGAAUAGAGUCCUUCUUCUACCCCUGAUGGUUCAAGAAGGCAAGGCUUUGAAGGAAAAUCACUAACUUAUUAGCUCGUAUUACAUUUGAGCAGCACCACUGAUAAGGCAAGUAUUACAGUUCUUUCCACUUUACAGAGUGAAGCGGGAAAGGGCUAUAGGAACUGUCCCCAUUCCUCCAGUUCUUUCCAAGUUCAGCCUCCCACAUUCUUAUUGAUACACAUUCCAAAAGGGCGGCUCCUUUACUUCCCCAAAGAAAGAUGUUAUUAAUUACCUAAUUUAUUUGCCAUUGUUGCUUUCAACUCUAAAUGAGUAAAUAAAGAGCUUUUCUUUAAUAAAGAGGUACUUUUGUAUCAACAGUGUGGAAUCUGCUCUAGAAUAUCCCCAACAUCUAUUUCCCUUGCCUCUGAAUCACCACCUCCAGGGAUUAGCAUUUUCUCCACUAUAAGAAAGUUAUAUUAAUUACUAGACCAUUUUUAGUGUUAAUGUUUAAACAUUUUUUAUUAUAAUGAACUACCAUCUGCCUUCCUUUUCUGUAUAACCACUGGCCCUAGUUUUGCCCUCUAGGGUAACACAGAUUAAAAUGAGUUCUCCCUUACGACACUUAUUUUUCUAUCUAAGGAGAGCAACCUCAUCAUUCUUAUAAUUCAUUUUUUCUCCAAGAUAAUGUAUUUCCAAAGAACAAAAAUAAGUUAGCCCCCUUUAAAUUUAAAUUAAAGUUAGGAAAAGAUUAUAUAUUAUAUAUACAUAUCUGAAAGACUGUUAGAGAAGUGGUAGAUGAUAGAAAAGUCUUCCAUCCUGAAGCAUGGCCAAGAAGACAUCUAGUUAUUUCUGUGUUGCCAUGAAUAAGUUUUUUGCCUUAUCAUUUACUUCUUGGGUAGUAUUUGUAAACUAAGAAGAUAGGAAUAGAUGAUAAUUAUGUUACCCAGAUCUAAAUGUUUUAUUCUUACCAUAUAUAUUUUGGAAAAACAAAACAUCAAGUUUACUGCUUCCUUGAAAUUCUGUUUGCACUUGGUAGCUUUAAUCCAUACUUUCCAGGUAUGUUCUAAAGCAGACAGCAAGCUGAAUGCUUUGAGCAAACUAUACUAGUAGAUAGAGUCCCCAUAAAUCCAAAAAUGAGUAACAGAAAACAUGCCAGUUUUGUACAUUUUCCAGAAUUUUAAGUGAAUUUUUUUUUCUUUUUAUGGCUGCACCUGCAGCAUAUGGAAAUUCUAGGGUCGGGGUCAAAUCGGAGCUGCAGCUGGCAGUCUACGUCAUAGCCACAAUAGCACCAGAUCUGAGCUUCAUCUGUGACCUACACCACAGUUUGCAGCAAUGCUGGAUCCUUAACCCACUAAGCAAGGCCAGGGAUCAAACCUGCAUCCUCAUAGACACUAUGUUGGGCUCUUAACCCGCUGAGCCACAACAGGAACUCCCUUAAGUGAAUAUUUGACAAAACUGAUUAAACAGAUUUUUGGACCUGUGAAGGCUUUAAAAUACUAGUCUGUUUUGUCCUAAAUAACAUACCUUAUUAUGUGAAUGAAAACAGCCUACGUUUGUUUUCUGGGGAAGGAGGAGGACAAAUUAGUUCUUAAUAUUAUAUAAGGGCUGGAUCUGAGUUAUUUUUAGAGUAAAGCUUCAAUGUAGUUUUUAGGAGUGUUACAGUUUGAGUGAGGCCAUACCUGACCACUAGUUCUCCUUUUAUAGAGGAAACUGUUGAUUAAGAUACAAGGGGCAUAGAUUUAUUUUAAAUUUAAUGCAACUCAAUAAAACAAAUACAUAUACAAAUAUUUCAUUUUAAACAGCCAUUUUUUUGUGGCAAAUCCAAAUACAGAAUUCAUCUUCUAAUACUAAUUUAUUUUUUUUCUGUUAUAGUUAUAAACAGCUGCCUGAAAUCUACAUAAAUUCAUUACUCUGUUUUUUUUCAUGGCCCCACAGUAUACGGAGUUUCCGGGCCAAGCCUCAGAUCCAAGCCACAGUUGUAACCUAAGCUGCAGCUGUGGCAACACCGGAUCCUUCAUCCACUGUGCCGGGAUGAGGAUGGAACUUGCAUCCCAAGGCUCCCAAGACGCCUCAGAUCCUGUUGUGCGACAGUGGAAACUCCAUAAUUCAUUAUUAUUAAUAAUGAGAUUAUUUGUACUAUUUGAGGCAAAAUGUUGGCAUUUUUAAACUUGCAGUGCAUUUGGACCAAUCCACUGAAAUUACAGUUUUUUAUGUUUUUAAUUCAUGAGUACAAACUGAUGGACAAAAUAUCAUUUUUCCUUCUUCUGAAAAAAACACUUAGAAAGUUGAAUGAGAACAAAGUAGCACUCUGGUCUCCAACUGACUGGUCCAGUAUUUCUUGCUAAGACUUGUUUCCAGAUUUUAGUGUGUGUGUGUAUGUGUGUGUUUUCUCGCUCCUUUCCUACGGCACUGCUAAUAAUCUCAUGAACACUGCACAGAUGUUUUUCCCAUUCUUUGGCAUACUUAUUUUUCAAGUGGCUUCUGAGAGCAGAUGCUCCCAUGUGUCUUUGUAACUUCUUUCCAGUUGAUGUUUUUGCAACAUUAAAAAAAAAAUGUGGGGGUGGAGAGGAGGAAUACUAAAGAAGACCAAUUACAGAAGCAAAAUAAAGACCAGUGUAUGUUUAACUUUUUAUCAUGAAU
rnacentral:lncRNA from 1 species